rnacentral:rRNA from 1 species
AGAAUCAACGCUGGCGGCGUGCCUAACACAUGCAAGUCGAACGAGAAAGGGGAGCAAUCCCUGAGUACAGUGGCGACCGGGUGAGUAACACGUGACUAACCUACCCUUGAGUGGGGAAUAACUUCGGGAAACCGAGGCUAAUACCGCAUAACACCUACGGGUCAAAGGAGCAAUUCGCUUAAGGAGGGGUCGCGGCAGAUUAGUUAGUUGGCAGGGUAAUGGCCUACCAAGACGGUGAUCUGUAU